rnacentral:misc_RNA from 1 species
AUGCGAUGAUCGCAGGCCGCGCCGUAGCUCUCGCCGUCCUUUUGCAGAGGGGUUUGCCAUCUCUGGCCACUGCCCUGCACCGGUUUGGUGCCCGUGCUCGGCGUACGCUGGCCACUACUUGAAGCACACUGAGGGCGAGUGGUCGAAAACAUGCGCACCGCCCACCCUCUGCGGUGCCUUCGCCGAUGCCACUUUGUUCUUGCUCGCCGUGGUCACGGCGGCACGGCGCAGAUGCAGCGGGAACUGAAGAGGCUUGCGUUGUUGGAGGAGUUCAUGACGCAGCCCGCGGAGACGCGCGCACAACAAGCGCCGGCGACGACGGCCGCAUGCACCGCAGCGUACUUGCGUGAGCUUCCACAGCGGGUGGAACAGAUGCGCGGCAUUGCUGCCACAGCAAACGGCGACCAAGCACUCCCGGAGCACGGCGUUGCCGGAACUUCUGCCUCGGCCACUUUGCUCACCGAACAUGAGGAGAGCAGGAGACCUUCGGGCGAGGUCAGCGCGCCACAGGUAAGCACUCUUUCGCAGUUUCUCUCUGCUUGCAAGGAGCAUCGCGUCCGGUACAGCUCCUCGGCUGAUCCUGCUUUACGGAAGCAGGGUCGCGACGUGUUCCGUAGUUUCUGGAGCCGGCAUGCAAGCAGUGCGGUAGCCUGCUGCUACGAGAGUGUCCGUGACCUUGGCUUCGUGGCGGACAUCGGGCUCGCUGAUACCGGUCUGCACCUUGGCAUGCGCGACAUGCGAGGCAUGCUGCGCGUGCUGCAGACGAACCACGCAGCUGCCUCGAGCCUCGACACCACCCGCGUUCUCGGCUACCUUGCGCGCGAGCUGCAGUACUGGGAGUCCCGAAAAGACAGCGAGAGCGAUGGAAGCACAGCACCCGCGCCUGUGAGUCUCAUGGCGUUCCGCGCGGCUCUCACAGACGUCGCGCUCGGCCGGCUCGCAUCCAUUUUUGUUCAGCAGCGUCAUUGUGCGGAGAGCUUCACACGACCACGCGUGAAGGCGGCAGCGAAUGUGCCGGCGUCAGGCGACUCCGUCUUUCCGCCUGCGCAAGCUUCCGGCGCUGAUGCAGUGUGGGGACUGGAGGCGCUCUCCGUCUUGCAUGCCCGAGACGCCACGGAGGGCGUCCUGGAAGAUGUGUGGACUGGCAAGCAGCUCUGCCUACUGCGCCAGCAGCGCGAGCCUGCGCACCUUCGAUCUACGCCAGCGUUUCCGGAUGUGCCGAGCGCAACGGUGCCAAUGAGUGCCCUUGCAACCGAAGUUCAGCAUCUGCUCGUGUCGGAGCUGUUUCGUGUCGUCGCAGCACGCCGGCGCGACCUCCGCAUGACGGACAUCGUUCACGCCUACGCCUUGCUGCGCGUGCAUCUGCGGCUCUUGUGGCCGCCGUACGGGAGACAGCCGCCGCCGCAACCCUCGCGUGCGGCGCGGCACCACAGCCGCGGCUGCGCGUCUGUGGAAAGGGAUCGGUCGCAUGCUGCGUUGACCUUGGCCCCUGCGACUGCUCAGCGACGCCCGCUUUGGUACGAAAAAGACACGCUCUUCCGCGUCACCUGGGGCCUCGCCGUCGCCCUGGCCAGCAAGGAUCGCGUUUUUAUCAGCGGCUAUCAUUUUGUCAAGAUCGUCGCCGUGCUGGCGAAGCUGCCAGCGUUUGUGCUCUCGCAGGAGCCGCACGUGAAGACGGAGCUGCGCCGUUUCGAAUUGCCACACAGAGGCGUCGCGUUUAGAAGGGAUGCCGCCGAAGACGACGCAGAGUCGCGUUUUGUGUGCGCCACCAUUGCGGCUGAGGUGAUACGCCAGGAGAUGGCAGUGGAGGCCGGCUCGAAGCCGCCCACGGCGGUAGCGCUGCACCCGAGCGAUUUCUGGCGCUUCAUAGUUGCCAAGGCGUGCGUAUUUGUGCCGAGUCUGCCGCCUGAGCAGCGUCGGAUUGUAUGUCGCAGUCUCCACCUCGCCAUCACUGAGAAGCGGGCCCACCUGCUUCCCCUCCAUGCUAGCGCCACCGCUCGCUCGGCACCAGUGCUGCAGUCAGCGCGGCGAGUUCGCAGCGAUAGCAUCGGGAGGCAGUUUGGGUCGAGGACCGUCUCGCCAGAUGGCAGCGGCGCCGCCUCCGCUUCAGAGAUCCUUCGCCCGCUGGUGGAGGAAAUGGAGGACUAUCCCGAGCCUUACGAGGCGUGUAUAAAAGACCAUCGACCACGUUCGCCGCCGCCCCGCGUAGCACCGAGACGGCGACCACAGUGGCAGCGAUGACAAAAUACGAGAGCCACUCGGUCGCUGCUCUCUCUCUCUCUGGUGCGCGCGCCUUGCUGUCGACGUGCAGCGGUUUGCGCUGCUUGUCUCUCUAAAGAAGGCUGUUUCGCGCACGAGGCAGAGGGAGGAGGGGGGGUAGCAACCAUGUGGGUCUGCCACCGGACGGGGUGCUGUUAUGCCUCUCCUACGGUGCUGCCCCUCAUCCGCCCUUCUUUGUCUCUCCUGGCGUCAAACGCCAUCAUCACACACGG